rnacentral:rRNA from 1 species
AGAUUGAACGCUGGCGGCAUGCCUAACACAUGCAAGUCGAACGGGAGUAGCAAUACUCUAGUGGCGGACGGGUGAGGAAUACGUAGGAAUUUGCCCUUAAGUGGGGGAUAACCCGGGGAAACCCGGAUUAAUACCGCAUGACCUCGAAAGAGCAAAGUGGGGGAUCGCAAGACCUCACGCUUUUGGAGAAGCCUACGUCGGAUUAGCUAGUUGGUGAGGUAAUGGCUCACCAAGGCGACGAUCCGUAACUGGUCUGAGGGGAUGAUCAGUCACACCGGAACUGAGACACGGUCCGGACUCCGUACGGGAGCAGCAGGUGGGGAAUAGUUGGACAAGUGGGACGAAAGCC